AACGCUAGCUACAGGCUUAACACAUGCAAGUCAGGGGCAGCAUGAACAAGCUUGCUUUGUUUGAUGGCGACCGGCGCACGGGUGCGUAACACGUAUGCAACUUACCCAUAAACAGGGAUAACCCGGAGAAAUUCGGACUAAUACUUGAUGGCAUUGAGCGAAGGCAUCUUCACUUAAUUAAAGAUUUAUCGAUUAUGGAUAGGCAUGCGCAUGAUUAGCUAGUUGGUGAGGUAACGGCUCACCAAGGCGACGAUCAUUAGGGGUUCUGAGAGGAAGGUCCCCCACACUGGUACUGAGACACGGACCAGACUCCUACGGGAGGCAGCAGUGAGGAAUAUUGGUCAAUGGGCGGAAGCCUGAACCAGCCAAGUAGCGUGAAGGAUUACUGCCCUACGGGUUUUAAACUUCUUUUAUGCGAGAGUAAUGUGCGCUACGUGUAGCGUUAUUGCAAGUAUCGCAUGAAUAAGCAUCGGCUAACUCCGUG
rnacentral:rRNA from 1 species